rnacentral:tRNA from 1 species
UCCCAAGUGGUUCAGUAGUAAAGAAUCUACCUGCAAUGCAGAAAACCCAGGUUCAAUCCCUGGGGUGGGAA